UGCGUAAAAAGUAUAAAAACAUGCUUUGAAUGGUACACACCAGGGCAGUGGUCACCAGUGGAGAUGAAAGAGGAGAUGAAUGAGGUCAUGGAAGGGUACAGAGAAGGCCUCAACAGUAUCUGUAAUGUAUUAUUUAUGUAAAAGAAAAGAAUGAAUGAAAUAUAACAAAAUAUUGAUUUGUUACGGUUGAGUGCUGAGUGGGCUACAGUUUCCCUCUGAUUUCCUUGAGAAGUUAUUUUUCCAUAAACACUCUUCAUUUUUAGCUAUACCCCUUUGUUCUUUCUCAGUAGGAGAGAAAGUUACCUGAUUGGUGUGUUUGGAGAGGAACUGGACAUUCCCAACUUAGCACCUCUCUCCUCCUCUCUGCAGAGAGCUUGUGCCCUGGUCUGCUGUUGGCUACAAGAUGAAUUUAGAAGAAUAAGUCUAUAUCCUUCCACCUGGACUUUAAUGCCUGAGCGCUUAUUAAAAUAUAAAAUAAUCUUUACUCCUGAAAAGGAAUGAAAUGGUGUUUUUAAAAGAAGAAGAAAGAAAAUACAAUCCUAAGAAAGAAAAAUCCAGAGACUUUCCUCGUUCAAAAUGGCCAGAGACAACGCUGGAACAGCGAGAUGCAAAAAUCCUGAGCCUUCAAAGCCAGCUCCUGAAGAAGAGAGAGGGCCUGGCAGCUGAGCUGGAUGCUUCAGGAGCAGAGGAUCUAUCAACUGCAGACCAAGCAUAGGGAGACGCAGGCAGACCUGGAACAGAAACCCGGCCAGCUCCAGCCGCUCCAACAGUUCUUGGUAGCCAGACAGUCGGCAGCAGGAAGCAUGCCACGGGCCACGAGGCAGGAAAUGACCCAAUCCUCGA